AAUUAAUGUUCUCAUUCCCCCAACUUAAAUUCUUUCAUUUCAAAUUGAAUUGCAUCACAUUGAAUGAUCAAGGAACAAAGAUCAAGAUCGAACAAUAGUUUAUUGAAGAAAUAUUUUGUAUGAAAUAAGGCGACCGUAUCAUUAUGAUGGGCAUACCAAAGGCACUGAGGCAGCGCUAUUUUAUGCAAUUUAACUUCCUCAUUUGAACGUUUGCAACUAUAAUAUUAUUGCCGCCAAAGAUUCGAUAUCAGAUAGGAACAUCCCUUAGAUUCGAUAAGACAGUGCCUCGAUCGACCACACAAUAUACAGUCACGCAUCUCGAUCUUAUUGGGAAAAGAACAUUCGACAAUUCGAUUUAGAGGGACUAAAGAACACAAAAAAAUAAAGGACUGCUCGAUUGUCUUCAGUGAUAAACUAUAUAGCCAUGGGUCUCAUUGUGUUAUUCGUAUUCGCAGGAUGCCUGACAUUGUCAAGUGCCGUGUCGUGCUAUACCUGCAGCGAGAAUAAUGUGCCUUUUGAUGAGCUAGAAGGUGUCUUUGAGUCGACCAACUGCUCAGCACCCAGCCCAACCGACGAUUUCGUCGACAUUGACAGAAACUGCACUGGAACU